rnacentral:sRNA from 1 species
CUCCCGGGCCGUCACUUUGUGUAGCGCGGGGCCCGCCGCCGGCCCGCAGGCCCCGGCCCCGGCGUCCGGCCCGUGGCUCGGCCAGCCCGGCCCGCGCGGUCUCUGCAGGAGGAGGCGGCUCCGGACGCCCCCUGGGGGGCGGGAGGCGCUCGGCUCGUCGCCCCAGGAGCCCGCUUUGUGACCUUGGGGGCCUUAUCCGGGCUUUCCCUCAUCUGCAGAAGGAGCCCCGGUGGGCUGCUCGGCUGUCUUCUGCUGCCGGCAGGAGCUGGUCCUCCACCUUCUCUGGUCGUCCGUGGGUGGACUUCUUGGGAGAAAGAACUCAGUGUCCUCUUUGGAGGGAGAGACUCUCCACUGCUUCUGGGGAAGGAGCCUGACCUGCCGGCUUCCUGGCACCUGUCUCUCCUCCCAGCCCCGUCGUGCCUUGCAAGUGCCUGCAUCCUGUCUGUGCUGAGACCUCUUGGCGUUCCCUGCUGGCCUGGUUCAUGUGUGUUGAGGACCAGGUAAGCGUCUCUUUGUCCUGGGUAUCAGGUGGGCUUUUCCUUCUGGCUAAACAUGGGCCACCCUCGGGCUGUGUGAUGCUUCCUUGUGGAUAAAGACUGGGAUAAAUGCCUGAUUUACUCCAGGAAAGAGCAGCAGUUCACACCAGGCACGUAGUUCUUGGUGAAAAGGAGCUGAGACUGGCAUCCCAGGGGUCACGCGGAGGGGCUCUUGGGGCAGCCUUUCUGGGUACAGAAUGUCUUGGUGGUGCAGGGUAAGAUCGUGGGAAGGCCCGGUCCUCCCUCAUCUCCAUUGCCUUCAACUACAUAACAGGAGUAAAUCCUGCUCCCCUCGCCCCCGCCAGGCUGCGGGAGACCCUGUGAGGGGACCGUGUGGUGUGCUGAGAGCAGCCCGUCACUGGCGUCCAUCUGCAUUUCAGGCCACGUGGAGGCUCGCUCC